rnacentral:rRNA from 1 species
UACGAAGGGGGCUAGCGUUGUUCGGAAUCACUGGGCGUAAAGCGCUCGUAGGCGGAUCUUUAAGUCAGGGGUGAAAUCCCGAGGCUCAACCUCGGAACUGCCUUUGAUACUGGGGAUCUCGAGUCCGGGAGAGGUGAGUGGAACUGCGAGUGUAGAGGUGAAAUUCGUAGAUAUUCGCAAGAACACCAGUGGCGAAGGCGACCGCCUGGCCCAACACUGACGCUGAGGUGCGAAAGCGUGGGUAGCAAACAGGA